AACCAAAGAGUGUGGAGACACUGGUAUGGCAUACAGGUGAGAUAUAAGGGUACAUCUGCACAGAACGUGACUGACUCUGGAGCUAUUUCUGCUGUCAAGAUUUGCUCCAAUGGGAUAUGGGUAUAACUGUCCCUCCGACCUAAGACAGCCACGGUGACUUGCAAGCAACUCACUGCACUUAGGCACGGGACUACCUGAAUUUCUAAUU
rnacentral:lncRNA from 1 species